GACUCAAACUGCUGCAAAAAGGGUCGACUUUUCUCCCUAUUUAUAGCCACGGUUUCUGUGUGCGAAAUUGAUAAUCUUGCAAGAUUUUUCGCAAUGGCUAAAACCAGUGUGGCAGCACAGCUACUGGCGGCGUUCUUGAUUGCCCUUUUUAUACUUGAUUGUUUCCCUGUUAUUUCAGCCUCUUCCCCUUUAGGUGGCAAAUCCAGGAAACUACGUAGUGAUUAUGGGGAGCGUUUCACAUACUUUAAAGAGCCGUCGUCCGCUGCUGUAAGCCUCAGACGGGCGGCUCCCGCCCCACCUCCGCCACGAUACAGCCAAUCGCCGCCACGGAAGUAAAGCUUUGGUGAUGGAAGAAGCCUUCUUAUACUUAUAAUAAUUGUUGGUGGUUGUAUGCGCAAAAUAUACUGUCGCAAAAAGUACCCAUUCAUUCUAAAUUCUGAUUCUUGCGCGUCUCUAUGUUA